rnacentral:rRNA from 1 species
AUACGUAGGGUGCAAGCGUUAAUCGGAAUUACUGGGCGUAAAGCGUGCGUAGGUGGUUGUUUAAGUCUGUCGUGAAAGCCCUGGGCUCAACCUGGGAAUGGCGAUGGAAACUGGGCGACUAGAGUGUGGCAGAGGGUAGUGGAAUUCCUGGUGUAGCAGUGAAAUGCGUAGAGAUCAGGAGGAACAUCCGUGGCGAAGGCGACUGCCUGGGCCAACACUGACACUGAGGCACGAAAGCGUGGGGAGCAAACAGGAUUAGAUACCCUGGUAGUCCACGCCCUAAACGAUGCGAACUGGAUGUUGGGUGCAAUUUGGCACGCAGUAUCGAAGCUAACGCGUUAAGUUCGCCGCCUGGGGAGUACGGUCGCAAGACUGAAACUCAAAGGAAUUGACGGGG